GCUGGGCAUGGUGGCGCAUGCCUGUAAUCCCAGCUACUUGGGAAGCUGAGGUAGGAGAAUUGCUUGAACCCAGGAGGCGGAUGUUGCGGUGAGCUGAGGUUUUGCCACUGCAAUCCAGCCUGGAUGACAGAGUAAAACUCCAUCUCAA
rnacentral:SRP_RNA from 2 species